GGGGACGUAGGUUAGCAUGGUUGACUGCCAGCCUCGGGCGCUGGAUAUCGUGGGUUCAAGUCCCAUCGUCCCCA
rnacentral:tRNA from 3 species